GGUUGGUCCAAGUGCAGUGGUGUUUACAACUAAUUGAUCACAACCAGUUACAGAUAUCUUUGUUCCUUCUCCACUCCCACUGCUUCACUUAACUAGCCUUUU
ensembl:misc_RNA Y_RNA Y RNA